UACGGGGGGGGCAAGCGUUGUUCGGAAUUACUGGGCGUAAAGGGCUCGUAGGCGGCCAACUAAGUCAGACGUGAAAUCCCUCGGCUUAACCGGGGAACUGCGUCUGACACUGGAUGGCUUGAGGUUGGGAGAGGGAUGCGGAAUUCCAGGUGUAGCGGUGAAAUGCGUAGAUAUCUGGAGGAACACCGGUGGCGAAGGCGGCAUCCUGGACCAAUUCUGACGCUGAGGAGCGAAAGCCAGGGGAGCAAACGGG
rnacentral:rRNA from 1 species